rnacentral:rRNA from 1 species
AGUGAACGCUGGCGGUAGGCCUAACACAUGCAAGUCGAACGGCAGCACAGUAAGUGCUUGCUCUUACGGGUGGCGACUGGCGGACGGGCGAGGAAUACCUCGGAAUCUACUUUUUCGCGGGGGAUAACGUAGGCGAUCUUACCCCAAUCCCCCAUACGACCUACGGGUGAAAGCAGGGGACCUUCGGCCCUUGCGUGAUUGUAUGAGCCGAUGUCGGAUUAGCUAGUUGGCGGGGUAACGGCCCACCAAGGCGACGAUCCGUAGCUGGUCUGAGAGGAUGAUCAGCCACACUGGAACUGAGACACGGUCCAGACUCCUACGGGAGGCAGCAGUGGGGAAUAUUGGACAAUGAGCGCAAGCCUGAUCCAGCCAUACCGCGUGGGUGAAGAAGGCCUUCGGGUUGUAAAGCCCUUUUGUUGGGAAAGAAAAGCAGUAGGUUAAUACCCCGCUGUUCUGACGGUACCCAAAGAAUAAGCACCGGCUAACUUCGUG